GUGGUUUAAGUUCGAUGAUACGCGAGAAACCUUACCAGGGCUUGACAUAUACAGGAAUGUUGUAGAGAUACAGCAGCCGCUUGCGGUCUGUAUACAGGUGCUGCAUGGCUGUCGUCAGCUCGUGCUGUGAAGUGUUGGGUUAAGUCCCGCAACGAGCGCAACCCUAUCAUCUGUUGCCAGCAUUUAAGGUGGGGACUCAGAUGAGACUGCCGGUGACAAACCGGAGGAAGGUGGGGACGACGUCAAGUCAUCAUGGCCCUUAUGUCCUGGGCUACACACGUGCUACAAUGGCCGGUACAGAGUGAAGCGAAACCGCGAGGUGAAGCAAAACGCAGAAAGCCGGUCUCAGUACGGAUUGGAGUCUGAAACUCGACUUCAUGAAGUUGGAAUCGCUAGUAAUCGCGCAUCAGCAUGGCGCGGUGAAUACGUUCCCGGGCCUU
rnacentral:rRNA from 1 species